rnacentral:lncRNA from 1 species
UAAGAUGGAGGAAAAGAGCUUUCAUAGGAACUGGAGCAGCAGCCUCUCCCCUCCCUUCCUUCAGAACCUAAACCAGAGCUUGCCUCCUCCAGGAAGCCUUCCUUGUGAAACCCACCAAGCCCCAGCCCCUCCACAACUCAGGGAGACAGUCUGAUGCCCAAAGUGGGGCCUGCAGCUCCCUGAAUUCAGCAGGGUCCAGACCUCUUGUUUCUGAUUCUCUCUACCCUCUAAACCCCAAAUCUAGACAAGGGAUACCUCGGGCCAAAGCCAGUGUGCCCAGCCCUGGCCAGACUGCCCAGUCAGGGAGACAGAGACACCCUGGAGCAGGUGGGGCCCUGUCCUGGGAAGCCCCCAGCGCAGCAGGGCAGACGGUCCCCACCCACGGUCCCAGGGACAUGCUCGCUUACAAAGCCAUGGCAGCAGGCGCGAGCACAUUCUCCCUGAUUCUGAGGAGGCUGAGGCUGGCUGAGCUAGGGGCCGGGACCCAAACUUGGUGACGGACCGAGGUGACUCAAUCGCUGCCUCAUCAUGUCAGCACUCUGCAGACUCUGCCGUCACCCACCAGUAUUUGAUCUUCUGAGCAGGGCGGUGUCUGAUGCCUCUCUGAGUCCUCAGCUGGGGAAGGAACUUGGAGAGGAGUCGUGACUUGCUGAAAGACAGCGACAGGGAAGGCUUUGCCUAAGGGUGUGACCUGGGACUAGAUCUCGGUGGGGUCUCCAGACCCAGCGGGCACCCUUUCUGCUAGUUCCCUCUUACACACUCGAUCAAUCCCCUGCACCGGCACUGCCCACCCCACCCCCUUUCCACGUCCCUCUGCAGUGGGUCGGCGAAGUGGGCUGCCAAGAGGAAUGAGGGAAGAUGGAAGAUCUUGGUGGGCUUCCCAGGGGAGGUGAGAACCUCACCCAGUUCUCCUCUGGUAAAACAAAUAAUUGGGCUUCCCAUGAGCAAGGGCCUUUCAGCCAGCAGAAGCCACCCCCAGCCCAAGGUAGCAUCCAAAGGGAUCCUGGCUUGCUUCCACUGAUUCCCUGCUCAGGUCAGGUGUGCACAAGGUGGCCAAUAGAUGGCGCUUUAGUCUCCACAAUUGAAUGGAAGAAGAGGGUAGAGGGGCAGGAGGUGGGGGGGGGGGGUCCAGGAGGGAGGAAGUGGAAACUUGAAAGAAAAAGGAAACCAGAACCUCUCACUUGGCUUGGAAAAGUAGCUUUCAAGAUCAGGGCUGUGGGUGUGAGCUGGAGGGAUAUGGAGAUUGUGGUGAGCAGAGGAAUUUUAUUAGUGCCCGGGGGUUUCCACCCAAGUUUCCACACCCACUGGCCUCUUUCUGACAGGAAGAGAAUGACUCUGGGGUCAGGAGGACCUGGAGCCCAGUUCUGAGUCAGUCAUGUUGCAGCUCGACCUGAGUCAUUUAACUUUUAUGAGCUCUGCUCCACUAUCUAUUAAGUGGAGCUAAUAAUUCUAGGCCGCACCCACGGUAUAUGGAAGUUCCCAGGCUAGGGGUCUAAUCGGAGCUGUUGCUGCCCACCUAUACCUCAGCCACAGCCACAGCCAAGCCAGAUCUGAGCCGCCUCUGCCACCUACUCCACAGCUCACGGCCACGCCAGAUCCUCAACCCACUGAGCAAGGCCAGGGAUCGAACCCGCAACCUCAUGGUUCCUAGCUGGAUUCGUUAACCGCUGCGCCACAACAGGAACUCCCGGGAACGGUUAUAUUUUGUGUGUUCAGUCCUUCUCUAUCCAUUUUUGAUAACAUAAGUAAUACAGAAGUGGGAUGACUUCUAUUUUUUCUAUGUUCUGAAACAAGUUAUAUAACUAGAAAAAUGAGUUCCUUGAUGGUUUGACAGGAUUCACAGCUAAUACUGGCCAACCUAGGUUCUCUCGGGUGGGAUCAGUGGGGGAAGUGUCUCUGACAGUGUUUUCUGUUUCUUCUGUACUAAUAGGUCUAUCGAGAUUAGUUAUUCCUUGGAGUUCCCGCUGUGGCACAAUGGAAUCGAUGGCCUUUUGGGAAUGCUGGGACACAGGUUUGAUCCCGACCAGGCACAGCAGGUUGAUGAUCCCAUGUUGCCGCAGCUGAGGCUUGGGUCACAACUGCGGCUCAGAGCUGAUCUGGUCCGGGAAUUCCAUAUGCCUUGGGGCAGCCCCAAAAGAGAGAGAGAUUAGCUACUCCUUAAAUUAAUCAAGCCAGACCAGAGUGUCUACCAGCCAGACACCUACCGCCAAACUUUCACAGUGGGCAUGAGGCCGUGAUUAAAUGGGAAAGUUUGGCACCUCUAAGAAACAAGAGGAUUUCAGCCAAUGGCGGAUUUUUUUCUCUACCUUGUGUCUUCUUUCCUCCAUCACCACCACUCCUUCCAGCAAAAGCCACCGCCCUUUCCUGCCUGGAUCCUGCAGUACCCUUCCAGGUGGUGUCCCCCUCCCAUCCCACCCCAGAUACAUUCAAACAGCAUAUGUGGGGCUAUGAAAUUUCCUCUGAGCACAGGUUUGACUGUAUUCUAUGGGUUUUAAUAUGUACCGUUCUCAUCUUUAUGAAUUUAUAAGUAGUCUAUAAGUUUAACGUUCCUGUAACCUAAGAUAGGUAAGCAUUUUUAAAUUUUCAAGUGCUUAAUUCCAAAUGUGGUCCAAAAACUUAUUCUCAUACAGGCACAAAUUUAUGAAUAUUUUUGAUAUUUUAUUUUCAUUUAAAUAGCGAAUGCAUCCGUAUAUUGUGGAUUGCUUAGAUGACCUUCUGAUAUCAGAAGCAUCAGAGACCCGACACUUAAAGUCUUCACUUGCAUUUAUUAGCAAGCAGUGCUACUUUAAUCUUGAUAUAAGACAAAAAAUAACAAAUGAUGUAGACUUUAUGAAUAAAUGCUGUGUUUAGGCCCGUUGGUGGUAUGGCCUGCUACCAGAAGGAAUGCUUGCACUUCAUUCAAAGAAAAAAAUGGUGGAUGACUUGUUAUCCCCACCAGAUAGUAAAAUAAUUACCUUAAUUUCAGGUGUGCAAAAUUUCCCCCCAGACUGACUUCAACUGAAACACAUAAACAAACUGAAAGGAAAGAUUGGAUCCCAAGAGCACAGCAUCCAACACAGGAUAGAGAUGGAGGGAAUUCCAAGGAAAAUAGUAAGGGAAAUUUCAGGUCCACAUCUGGGCGGCAGACACGGAGCACAGUGGACGCAGGCUAGAGCUGGAGGACAGAGGGCUCUGGGAGAGAUGCCCCCAGGAAAGGAAAAACACAACAACCAAAAGCGAUGACAGAUUUCCUGAUAAAUUUGACCUUGUGAAAAACUGUGCUCAUGGAAGACACAGGAAGAAGAUUCAGCUGUAGGUACAAAGAAAGCUAAGCAAAUGAAAAAUAAUAAGGCAUCGACUACAGGGAAAAUCGAAAGUUGCACAAAAAAUGCAGGGGCGGAGGAAAUCCAUGGUACACCAGCAGCUUCUUAGAGAAUGAUGUGUAUAUAGCAAUCAUAAUAUAAGCGCUAAAAACUAAUUUAACCAAAAGGUGAUCAUUUGGAUAGGGAUGGGAAGACAGAGAUUUAGACGUAGGAGGUCCCGUUGUGGCUCAGCAGUAACGAACUCGACUAGUAUCCAUGAGGAUGUGAGUUCGAUCCCUGGCCUUGCUCAGUGGGUUAAGGAUCCGGCAUUGCCUUGAGCUGUGGUGUAGCUCGAAGAUGUGGCUCAGAUCCUGCAUUGCUGUGGCUGUGGCGUAGGCCAGCACCUGUAGCUCCCAUUUGACCCCUAGCCUGGGAACCUCCCUAUGCCA